rnacentral:rRNA from 1 species
AUGAAGCUGGAAUCGCUAGUAAUCGCAGAUCAGAAUGCUGCGGUGAAUACGUUCCCGGGUCUUGUACACACCGCCCGUCACACCAUGGGAGUUGGAAAUGCCCGAAGCCAGUGACCCAACCGUAAGGAGGGAGCUGUCGAAGGUGGAGCCGAUGAUGGGGUGAAGUCGUAACAAGGUACC